rnacentral:rRNA from 1 species
GGCCCAGUGGGGAGGGGGCCAUUCUGACCUGGGCGCGUAUGAGCCUCGGCACCCUUAGGCCCUAGCCGGGUUUAGCUCCCUGAUCACUACGGUACCGCAGGUAUAGGGGAGGUAGUGCAGACUAGGGCUAGGGGGUGGCGAGGCCCUGACGGCCCUGGUCCCAGAGACCGCGUGCCCCUGUUUUUCAUUAACGCUCACACACAGCUCCCCGCGCCACUCGAGAGAUAUGAUCUUGUACCGGAGCCUGUAGCGGAGCUCGCGUAGAUCCUAGCUUUUGCAUUACGUAGCUCUGAUUACGUCUGGUGUGAUGGAUAGCUUAAUCGUAAUUUUAG